UAGGGUUCGAUUCCGGAGAGGGAGCCUGAGAAACGGCUACCACAUCUAAGGAAGGCAGCAGGCGCGUAAAUUACCCACUCCCAGUUCGGGGAGGUAGUGACGAAAAAUAACAAUACAGGACUCAUAUCCGAGGCCCUGUAAUUGGAAUGAGUACACUUUAAAUCCUUUAACAAGGACCAAUUGGAGGGCAAGUCUGGUGCCAGCAGCCGCGGUAAUUCCAGCUCCAAUAGCGUAUAUUAAAGUUGUUGCGGUUAAAACGUUCGUAGUUGAACUUGUGCUUCAUACGGGUAGUACAACUACAAUUGUGGAUUGUACAUUACCUUAUGUAUGCAAGCGUAUUAUCGGUGGAGUUCUUAUAUGUAAUGAUACUUGUAUUGUUACAUAUACCUCCUAUUUAAACCUGCUUCAGUGCUCUUCAUCGAGUGCUGUUGUGGGCCGAUACAAUUACUUUGAACAAAUUAGAGUGCUUAAAGCAGGCUCCAAAUGCCUGAAUAUUUUGUGCAUGGAAUAAUGAAAUAAGACUUCUGAUCUACUUUCAUUGGUUUUUAGAUCAAGAGGUAAUGAUUAAUAGAAGCAGUUUGGGGGCAUUAGUAUUACGACGCGAGAGGUGAAAUUCUUGGACCGUCGUAAGACUAACUUAAGCGAAAGCAUUUGCCAAAGAUGUUUUCAUUAAUCAAGAACGAAAGUUAGAGGUUCGAAGGCGAUCAGAUA
rnacentral:rRNA from 1 species